rnacentral:rRNA from 1 species
GAUGAACGCUGGCGGCGUGCCUAAUACAUGCAAGUCGAGCGAACAGACGAGGAGCUUGCUCCUCUGACGUUAGCGGCGGACGGGUGAGUAACACGUGGAUAACCUACCUAUAAGACUGGGAUAACUUCGGGAAACCGGAGCUAAUACCGGAUAAUAUAUUGAACCGCAUGGUUCAAUAGUGAAAGACGGUUUUGCUGUCACUUAUAGAUGGAUCCGCGCCGCAUUAGCUAGUUGGUAAGGUAACGGCUUACCAAGGCAACGAUGCGUAGCCGACCUGAGAGGGUGAUCGGCCACACUGGAACUGAGACACGGUCCAGACUCCUACGGGAGGCAGCAGUAGGGAAUCUGCCGCAAUGGGCGAAAGCCUGACGGAGCAACGCCGCGUGAGUGAUGAAGGUCUUCGGAUCGUAAAACUCUGUUAUGAGGGAAGAACAAGUGUGUAAGUAACUAUGCACGUCUUGACGGUACCUAAUCAGAAAGCCACGGCUAACUACGUG